rnacentral:lncRNA from 1 species
AUGGCCACUGCCACUCCUGGUGGUGUUUCUUCUGUCGCACAGGGGAGAGGUAGGUUUGUCACUCCCAUGCCGCCCAGGAAAGAAACUAAGGAUCCAGUUGAUCCCAGAGCUGGCAGCAUUCCCUUAACAGUGAUGUUUGGCUGGAUCAGUCUCAAGUUCUCUCUGCUUGAAGAGAAAGGCCAACGUGACUGCCUCUGUGAGCCCCCUCAGGCUGCCCAGGAGGAGAGAGCUGGCAAAGCCAGGGACGGUGUGCAGUGUGGCUCACUGGGAGGACCUUGGUGGGAACACUCCUUCAGUCAUAAAACUGUGGGAAGUAGAGCUUGA